AGCGAACGCUGGCGGCAGGCUUAACACAUGCAAGUCGAGCGGGCACUUCGGUGUCAGCGGCAGACGGGUGAGUAACACGUGGGAACGUGCCCUUCGGUUCGGAAUAACUCAGGGAAACUUGAGCUAAUACCGGAUACGCCCUUUUGGGGAAAGGUUUACUGCCGAAGGAUCGGCCCGCGUCUGAUUAGCUAGUUGGUGGGGUAAUGGCCUACCAAGGCGACGAUCAGUAGCUGGUCUGAGAGGAUGAUCAGCCACACUGGGACUGAGACACGGCCCAGACUCCUACGGGAGGCAGCAGUGGGGAAUCUUGCGCAAUGGGCGAAAGCCUGACGCAGCCAUGCCGCGUGGAUGAUGAAGGUCUUAGGAUUGUAAAUCCUUUCAGCGGGGAAGAUAAUGACGGUACCCGCAGAAGAAGCCCCGGCUAACUUCGUGCCAGCAGCCGCCGUAAC
rnacentral:rRNA from 1 species